GUCGCGGCGCCUUCGGAGGUGGCGGAUGCGGUCGUGAGCCGGCGGGGGAGGUGCUGCUGCUGCCUCCACUGUACUCAGACCCAGGUAGCACAGGAUUGUCCAUCCGCCAGCAGCUCAGUGCAACGGUGUGAACUCAGCCUGUUUCAGAGCCUUCCUACCAUGACCUAGGCUACUCUGAAGCAGGUGGCUGAGCCCUGGCCCUGGCCUGAUGCAGGACAGGUUGGCAGGGAGGCAGCAGAGCCAAAUUUUGUACAAAGGAGCUGGUGCUAGCAAGCUCAGGAAGAAGCCACAGCCGGAAGUUCACCUUGCCAGGACCUGGCUCAGCUGCAGGUUCCCACCGGGCCACCAGACCUCCAAAAAGCUGGUGAACUCGGUGGCUGGCUGUGCUGAUGACGCUCUUGCUGGCCUGGUGGCCUGCAACCCCAACCUGCAGCUCCUGGAGGGCCACCGCGUGGCCCUCCGUUCUGACCUGGACAGCCUCAAGGGCCAGGUGGCACUGCUGUCGGGUGGGGGCUCUGGCCAUGAGCCUGCCCAUGCUGGUUUCAUAGGGAAGGGGAUGCUGACUGGGGUCAUCGCAGGAGCCGUGUUCACCUCCCC
rnacentral:sRNA from 1 species